AUGGGGUUUCACCAUGUUAGCCAGGCUGAUCUCGAACUCAUUACCUCAAGUGACCUGCCCAUCUCAGUUUCCCAAAGUGCUGGGAUUACAGGCGUGAGUCACUGCGCCCAGCCAGUCUCUUUGCUUUUGAAGAUCUGAAACUCACUGGUGCAACAUUGGAAGAUUUUUAAUAUAAGGGGAUUGAGUUCUAAGGCACAGAAACCAUGGGAAGAAAUGCUAAUAGGCUUCAGGAAAGAUCAGAAUGGGGGCAAGGAAGCCUCAGGAAUGUGGGCAUUUCUCUUUCAUUUCUAUGUCCACUUCUCUUUCUGUGGUCUGUUUUAUUCUCUCAGCUUUCUUUGCUUCUCUGUGCAUUGGCAGAAGGUGGAAUGUUUACAUCAUGUCAAUUGCAGCCACACCCAGGGACCGACUAGCUUUCCGGAGUCUCGAAUCUAAAUUCUCAGGAGAAAUCAUCUGAUUAGACCAACUUGGGUCACGUGCUCACCCCUGGCUCAGACACCUGUGGCUGGGGGCUGGGAGCUGGGAGCAAGCAGUACCAACAUGGCUACACAGGACCCUUCCUAAAAAGGGGCAAGUUUGUGGAGAAAGGAGUCACCCUGAGUUGGCUAGACAUGUUCGCUGUCUGUCAUAUAUGUUUCCUGAGCUGGUAGGUAACUGUGCCUUCUCUUCCCAGAGUUUAUAAAAUUUCUUUUGUGGCUCCCUGGUGGUUGGCUCGAUGUUAGUCUCACUCUGGAAUAUUUAAAAAAUUAAUUUGGAUAACUGUGGUAAGCUACUUAACAAGCCAGGUCUUAAACAAUGUGGCCCAUUAUCUCUACCUUAUACAGCACUCAAUCAUUAUCUCCUUUGCAUGAUGGUUUAGGGCCUUGCAGCUCAAAGUGUGAUCCAUGGAUCAGCAGCACUGGUAUUGCCCAAGAGCUUAUUGGAACUCCAGAAUGCAGUUCCUACCUACUUGAGCAGAAUCUGCAUUUAACUGCUCCCCAGGUGAUUCACAUUACAGUUUGGUGAGCACCUGGAGGAGGUUCUUGUCUUUUCUCUCUUAUUAGAUUGAAAAUUUUGAGGGCAAGGACUCUAUUUAGCAAACCUCAAUUGUCCACUUCCUAUGUGUAAAGUACCUUGCUUUGUCUUGCAGGCAACAGAGCUUAUCAAAAGCAGUUAUGAGCGAAUUUUAAGCUCAGGAUAGUGGUUGAAGAGGGUAAAUUAAUUACAGUGGUCCACCCUUAUCCUUGGGUAUAUGUUCUCAGACCCCCAGUAGAUGCUGGAAACUGCAGAUUGUAUUGAACCCUACAUACAUCCUAUGUUUUUUUAUUUGAUAACCAAAACAGCUACUAAUGGGUAACUAUCUAAUAAGCAGGAAAGGUACACAGUAUGGAUAAGCUGGAAAAAGGGAUGAUUCAUGUCCUGGGUAGGAUGGCAAGGGAUGGGGCAAUAUUUCAUCACACUAUUCAGGGCAGUGUGCAAUUUAAAACUUAUGAAUUUUUUAUUUCUGAAAUUUUCCAUUUAAUAUUUUUAGGCCACGGUUAACCUCCAGUAACUGAGACAUCAGAAAGCAACAGAUAAACAGAAUGCUCCUUCUGAAAACCCAGCUGCAAAGCUGUGAAGAGACCCAACCAACUCUGUGGGGGCCCACCUGGAGGAGAAGUGAGACACCUGGCUAACAGUUCCAGCUGAGCUCCCAGUUGGCAACUAGCACCAACUUUCAGCCAUGUGGGUAAGGUCAUUUGUACCUCCAGACUUUCUACCACCCCAGCCAACACUCUCUGAAGCAGAAAACCACUGGGUUAAUGGGUAACGCACAUAAUUGUAAGAAAUAAUAAAUUGUUGUUUUAAGAGA